CUACGGGUCGCAGCAGUGGGGAAUAUUGCACUAUGGAGGAAACUCUGAUGCAGCAACGCCGCGUGGAGGAUGAAAGGGUGGGGAGGGGAAAUGCCUUUUAUAUAGGAAGAUAAUGACGGUACUAUAUGAAUAAGCACCGGCUAACUCCGUGCCAGCAGCCGCGGUAAUACGGAGGGUGCAAGCGUUACUCGGAAUCACUGGGCGUAAAGAGCGUGUAGGCGGGUUAAUAAGUCAGAAGUGAAAUCCUAUGGCUCAACCAUAGAACUGCUUUUGAAACUGUUAACCUAGAAUAUGGGAGAGGUAGAUGGAAUUUCUGGUGUAGGGGUAAAAUCCGUAGAGAUCAGAAGGAAUACCGAUUGCGAAGGCGAUCUACCGGAACAUUAUUGACGCUGAGACGCGAAAGCGUGGGGAGCAAACAGGAUUAGAUACCCCGGUAGUC
rnacentral:rRNA from 1 species